GGGUUAUUUUGGGUUGGUUUAGGAUGAUUUGGGGCUGGUUUGAGGUGAUUUGGGGUUAUUUUGGGGUUGAUUUUGGGUUAUUUUGGGGUUGAUUUGGGGUUAUUUUUGGGCUGGUUUCAGGCAGGUUCUGGGCUGAUUCUGGGUUAUUUUCGGGCUGGCUUGAGCUGAUUCUGGGUUAUUUUGGGGUUGAUUUCAGGUUAUUUUUGGGUUGGUUUCAGGCAGGUUCUGGGCUGAUUUGGGGUUAUUUUUGGGCUGAUUUGGGGUUAUUUUUGGGCUGAUUUCAGGCAAGUUCUGUGUUAAUUUUGGGUUAUUUUUGGGUUGAUUUCAGGUUAUUUUUGGGCUGGUUUCCGGCAGGUUCUGGGUUGAUUUGGGAUUAUUUUUGGGCUGAUUUUAGGCAGGUUCUGGGUUAUUUUUGGUUUGAUUUCUGGUUAUUUUCGGGUUGGUUUCAGGCAAGUUCUGUG